UAACGGAGGGUGCAAGGCGUUGUCCGGAAUCACUUGGGCGUAAAGGGCGCGUAGGCGGCCUGGUAAGUAGGGGGUGAAAUCCUGCGGCUUAACCGCAGGGCUGCCUUCUAAACUGUCAGGCUUGAGCACGGUAGAGGCAGAUGGAAUUCCCGGUGUAGCGGUGGAAUGCGUAGAGAUCGGGAAGAACUCAGUGGCGAAGGCGGUCUGCUGGGCCGUUGCCUGACGCUGAGGCGCGACAG
rnacentral:rRNA from 1 species